rnacentral:rRNA from 1 species
AUUAAACGCUGGCGGCAUGCCUUACACAUGCAAGUCGAACGGCAGCACGGGGGCAACCCUGGUGGCGAGUGGCGAACGGGUGAGUAAAGCAUCGGAACGUGCCCUGGAGUGGGGGAUAACGUAGCGAAAGUUACGCUAAUACCGCAUAUUCUGUGAGCAGGAAAGCAGGGGAUCGCAAGACCUUGCGCUCUGGGAGCGGCCGAUGUCGGAUUAGCUAGUUGGUGGGGUAAAGGCCUACCAAGGCGACGAUCCGUAGCGGGUCUGAGAGGAUGAUCCGCCACACUGGGACUGAGACACGGCCCAGACUCCUACGGGAGGCAGCAGUGGGGAAUUUUGGACAAUGGGCGAAAGCCUGAUCCAGCCAUGCCGCGUGUGUGAUGAAGGCCUUAGGGUUGUAAAGCACUUUCACCGAUGAAGAUAAUGACGGUAGUCGGAGAAGAAGCCCGGCCGUAACUUCGUGCCAG